rnacentral:rRNA from 1 species
GACGAACGCUGGCGGCGUGCCUAAUACAUGCAAGUUGAGCGCUGAAGGUUGGUACUUGUACCAACUGGAUGAGCAGCGAACGGGUGAGUAACGCGUGGGGAAUCUGCCUUUGAGCGGGGGACAACAUUUGGAAACGAAUGCUAAUACCGCAUAAAAACUUUAAACACAAGUUUUAAGUUUGAAAGAUGCAAUUGCAUCACUCAAAGAUGAUCCCGCGUUGUAUUAGCUAGCUGGUGAGGUAAAGGCUCACCAAGGCGAUGAUACAUAGCCGACCUGAGAGGGUGAUCGGCCACAUUGGGACUGAGACACGGCCCAAACUCCUACGGGAGGCAGCAGUAGGGAAUCUUCGGCAAUAGACGAAAGUCUGACCGAGCAACGCCGCGUGAGUGAAGAAGGUUUUCGGAUCGUAAAACUCUGUUGGUAGAGAAGAACGUUGGUGAGAGUGGAAAGCUCAUCAAGUGACGGUAACUACCCAGAAAGGGACGGCUAACUACGUG